rnacentral:rRNA from 1 species
UACGGGGGGGGCAAGCGUUGUUCGGAAUUACUGGGCGUAAAGGGCUCGUAGGUGGCCAACUAAGUCAGACGUGAAAUCCCUCGGCUUAACCGGGGAACUGCGUCUGAUACUGGAUGGCUUGAGUUCGGGAGAGGGAUGCGGAAUUCCAGGUAUAGCGGUGAAAUGCGUAGAUAUCUGGAGGAACACCGGUGGCGAAGGCGGCAUCCUGGACCGAUACUGACACUGAGGAGCGAAAGCCAGGGGAGCAAACGGG